AAUAAAGGUUAGGGAUGAAAGUUUGAAUUUAGGAUCUCAAAACAAAAAUUAAGAUGAUUGUUGAUGAGUAUAUAUAAUUGUAGUUGGUAUGACAUUUUAUCUUAGAGGUGAGAGAUACCACAUCUUAACAGUUCUACGGAAGAACGAUUAAUUUUUUUUGAAGAUCAUAUUUAUAAUUUAACCAAGGAGAGAAAGAGAUAUACUCACUCUGUUUGGUGUUUUAAAAGCGCUUAUUAAUUCUGCAAACUCCUACUCUGUUGAGAGAAACAAAUCUGAGAUUUCAUACAUUUCUCCCAUCUGAAAGAUCAAAGCAAUGAGAACUCACCUUUUACUUCUUGGUUUGUUCUUCUGUUUCCUUCUCUUAAGUGCUUCUUUCAUGGACACUGCCAUGGCUGAUUCAGACCGGUGCACAAGACCGUGUAGGAAGAGGUGCUCGAAAGCGAAGCUGAAGCGUCGGUGCAUGAAGUAUUGUAGAAUAUGUUGCAGUAAAUGUAAAUGUGUGCCAGGGGGCUAUGGGAAGCGCCAUUGCCCUUGCUAUAGCCAUGUCCACACCAUUAGAGGCAGGGCCAAGUGCCCUUAACUUUUAAGACCAUAUGCAUUUAUUGUCUGUCCCUUAUUGUUAUUAUUAUUAUUAUUAUGAAAUCAAAUAAGCCAACCUAAAAUAGUACUAUAGAAAUGAAAUGAGACCAAAAUAAUUGUGUCUGAUUUCAAUAUUAAGUACUGCUUCAAAGUUUGAAUGUGAGGUUUGUUUGGUGUGCUUUUUUUAAUAAUAAUAAACUAUAUGUAUUUAUGAUGUGCCUUUGAUUAUUGUAUUUUAUUAUUUAAGGCCUUCUUCUA